UAAAGAACCACAGAAAAGAAAAAGGAAAAAAGAACCAGAGAAGGCGAGAGAAAUGGCGACGGAGAAGCGCGGGCGUCGACACUCGCCGCCGCCCGCCACGCCCGGCGCCUCUCCCACUUCCUCCUCGAAUCCCGAACCCACGCGCUCGCCUUCCCCUCCGCCCGACGUCGUCCCUGACAUCGCCUCCCGCCUGACCUCCCUCGAGGACUUCUUCGCGCUGCGCGCCUCCUGCCGGGCCUACCGCGCCCUCCUCCCGCCGUCCCGCGGGGUCCUCGCCUCCCAGUCCCCGCUCCUCCUAGUCGCGCUGUUCCCCUCCUUCACCGAGGCGCUCUUCCACCUCUCGCUCCGCCGCCUCCACCGCUUCCGCCUCCCCUGGGGCCACCACCUGUCCCUCUCCCGCCGCACCCUCCUCUACGCGCACGGCUACCUCGUCACGGUCACCUACCAGUACCCCGCGAGGCUCCUGCUCCUCCACCUCUUCUCCGGGGAGCAGAUCCGCCUCCCCAAGGUCCCCGCGCCGUUCAGCCGCUUCAUCCUUUCCGACGACCUCGCCGCCGUCCUCUUUAUGCCCGGCAGUUCCACCGUCCAGCACUGCCACCUGGGUGACACGCUCUGGAGCGUGGCCUGCACCGAUGCGCCCAUCGUGAUCGACGAUAUGCUCUUCGUCCAUGGCACCCUCUACGCUCUGGUAAAUGGCCUCCGCCUUGCCAUAGUCGAGCUGUUGGAUAAUUCGCUGGAGCUGUCGUUUCUUGGAGGGGAGCUGGAUGACGAUAGCAUUCCAGCGGUAGGGAAAAUCAGGCUUGGAGAGUGCGGGGGCGAGGUGUUGCUCAUCAGUGAGGAUCCUAAGGAGAUGAUGGUCUACCAUGUUUACCGUUGGGUGUCUGAGGAGGGAAACUGGGCUUCAGUCACAAGCUUGGGCAGGAGGACAUUGUUUCUUGAUUAUGAUGGAUUUGCAUCCUGUCUUGGUCCUGAUUACCCAGGAAUUCGAGGGGAUUGCUUAUAUGCAGCUGGGCGACGCUUGGGUGAAUGGCACGAGUACUCCUUGGCUGAUGGAACUUGCGAUGUUCGAUAUGCUGAUUAUCCAGGCGCACCGCCGCUGAAUAACAGGUCACCUGCCAGACCACCAAUCUGGGUCUUUCCCAGCUUGUGCUGAUGCUGUCUGCGAAUUGUUUCUGAGCAUGUAAAAUAUCCGAGACUGACAUGGAAUCAUGGCGUUUCAUCUUAACAUGCUGGGGAUACAGAUGGGUCGAUGAGUGCCAACCCCGCUAAUGUCUCAAUGUCUUUUUUCUGGAGCCCUUGUGUUGAUUAUGGUUUGUUCAGAAACUUCAGAUGCGCAACUGAUUCCUUGCUAGAAGAAGUUCCUCCUGCUGUGUUGUGCAAUGCAACACUUCUUGUGCGAUGCCACUGAUUCUUUGCUAAAAGAAGUUUCUCCUGUUGCGUAGUGCAACACUAUUUGUAUUAUGUCAUUCUGCUUGUCAAAUAUAUUGCCUUGUUAAGCUGAGUUCUGAGGUAUAUGUGUCCGA